GCCCUCGUAGCUCAGUGGAUAGAGCAUUGGUUUCCGGUACCAAAGGUCGCAGGUUCGAAUCCUGUCGAGGGCA
rnacentral:tRNA from 2 species